rnacentral:rRNA from 1 species
UGGGGAAUAUUGCGCAUGGGGGAAACCCUGACGCAGCAACGCCGCGUGAAUGAUGAAGGCCUUCGGGUUGUAAAGUUCUGUCUUCUGGGACGAUAAUGACGGUACCAGAGGAGGAAGCCACGGCUAACUACGUGC